rnacentral:rRNA from 1 species
UACGUAGGGGCCUAGCGUUGUCCGGAUUUAUCGGGCGUAAAGGGCUCGUAGGCGGCCAACUAAGUCGGAUGUGAAAUCCCCAGGCUUAACCUGGGAACUGCAUCCGAUACUGGAUGGCUUGAAUCCGGGAGAGGGAUGCAGAAUUCCAGGUGUAGCGGUGAAAUGCGUAGAUAUCUGGAGGAAUACCGGUGGCGAAGGCGGCAUCCUGGACCGGCAUUGACGCUGAUGAGCGAAAGCUAGGGGAGCAAACGGG